AGGGGUUUGGAUUAUGUAUUGAAGAAUAGUUUGAGAGCACUGCCAGCAUUUGCCUUCUGAGAAAAGAAGGGCCAGUUUGUUUCUUCAGAUGAAACCCCAGAAUUAAGCCUUGGCUAUUAGCCAUGCAAAAGGUUAAGGAGCUGAGAUUUCCUCAGUCUGAAAGCCCGUUUCCCCUUCUCUGCAUGUGGGAGGGGGCAUAGAGACUGGUGAGCUGUGGAAAUACCUUGUUUGAUUGUUUGGACUGUUUUAUAACCCCUGAAACAGGGUGGGCUUUCUAAGAGGGACAGCAAGAGGACUGCACCCCAUACCUUGCAACUAGACCACAGGACUGUCACUGCUCAGGGAAUGAUAAAUGAGGUCACUCUUCGAAGGCUGCUGCUGGACACUCCUCUAGCUGACUAGCUCCCUGGAACUAGGAAUUUUGCUAUAAUGCCACUUUUAGAAGAAACUACAGGUUUUCUGUACAGGUUUCCUGUACCCCCAAAGCGUGAGAGGCCAGACAGAACAAGUUCUGAUAUGUCCCAAUGAACAUAUAUUUAUGUACUGUCACACCGAGAAGAGUCUGUGAAAUAAAGAAUCUGGCCCGUACACUGGUGUGUGGUGGCUAGGUUACCAGGAGUAUUCCCGCAUCCUGAGAAUCUAUUGGACAGCUAUAAUUGUUCCCUAGUCCCUUUAUAUCUGUCGCUGGAUGCACAAUACCCCAAAGAAGGCAAAUAGGAGGGAGGGCCAUGGCCUGGGCACAUCAGAGCAGGUGAAGUGCACCAGAGGCAGCAGGCUGAAUCAUCCCAUAGGAAGGUGCAGCCAGCACACCCUCACUCAUGCGAGAGAGCUUGGAGAGAAAAGAUUGGGCUACCAUACUGCCCCCAAGACAGGGCUGUGACUUAAAAGUAUAGCCCUAAGUAAGGGUCAGUCCUUGACUGGAAGGUGAAGGUACACAGACUGGUGGGAGAAAAGCCAAGAGAAGCGGACAGCUUCAAGAAAGAAGCCAUAAAUUGCAACCCUGCUAUCAGCACACAGGACACUACCAAUCCUUUACCGUGGUAACUGUUUUCCUGACCUGCAGUCACGCAGCUUCUUCUAGCUUGUAUCAAUCAACGGUAACAAAGUUGGACUGGGGGACACCCCAUGAUCUUGAUGGAGGCAGAGAAGGAGGCCGGAAUGGCUUUCUAGCCUGUUGAGGAGUGUGCAGGCCCAAGGACCAGAGGGUGGCACGGCAGUCAUUAAGACUGUGAAGCCGUGUAUUGGUCUGAAGAGCCCUGCUCCCUCAAACGGGAGAUCCUGCAGGGCAGUCUGCAUCUCUUGGGUCAGCCCGGAGGACUGUAACCAGGAGCUACACCUCAUGACUACUGCAGAGGAGAUCACCCUGGCCGCCGAGUCUGUAACGUCUCAGGCCACGUGGAGGGCGCUUCUCGCCACCGCUUUGCCCUCAUCCACUAAUGGCAAACUCCUGGGCUUGGUCCUGUGGAAGGCUCUGCUUGAACUUGCUGAUGGAGUCCCACAGGUUAAAGUUGUACCUGCCUAGCAGGGCCUGAUGGUUAGACACCCAAAACUGCUGCUGGCUGUUGAAUAAAUUUUUCUGUCAUAUAAGUCCAGUCUCUUGGUAUCUUUAUUUUUGGGUUUGCCACUGGCCUGGCCUUGCCUGUCCCUUUCGUUGACGACAGACACUACCAGAGACCCUGCAGGAAGGUGGGUGUACAGAUAUUCAAAUCCCUUUGCUGGGACAUAAUAUUUCUUUUCCGCUUUUUUGGAGGCAGGCGGAAUGGAGGAGCGGGUCUGACACACAGACUCGGCAAUUUUCAGGACCCCUGGGUGGACGGGCAAUGCGACCCAGGCUGGGGUGGAGGAGAGUACGACAUUGAAGAGGUCGUCAGACUACUCCUCUA